UGGGGAAUUUUCCGCAAUGGGCGAAAGCCUGACGGAGCAAUACCGCGUGAGGGAGGAAGGCUUUUGGGUUGUAAACCUCUUUUCUCAAGGAAGAAGCAAGUGACGGUACUUGAGGAAUCAGCAUCGGCUAACUCCGUGCCAGCAGCCGCGGUAAUACGGAGGAUGCAAGCGUUAUCCGGAAUUAUUGGGCGUAAAGCGUCCGCAGGUGGCGUAUCAAGUCUGCUGUCAAAGACUAGAGCUCAACUCUGGAAAGGCAGUGGAAACUGGUAGGCUAGAGUACGGUAGGGGUUGAGGGAAUUCCCAGUGUAGCGGUGAAAUGCGUAGAUAUUGGGAAGAACACCAGUGGCGAAGGCGCUCAACUGGGCCGUAACUGACACUCAGGGACGAAAGCUAGGGUAGCGAAAGGGAUUAGAUACCCCUGUAGUCUUAGCUGUAAACGAUGGAUACUAGGCGUUGCUUGUAUCGACCCGAGCAGUGCCGUAGCCAACGCGUUAAGUAUCCCGCCUGGGGAGUACGCACGCAAGUGUGAAACUCAAAGGAAUUGACGGGGGCCCGCACAAGCGGUGGAGUAUGUGGUUUAAUUCGAUGCAACGCGAAGAACCUUACCAGGGCUUGACAUGUCCGGAACCUGCUGGAAACAGCAGGGUGCCUUCGGGAGCCGGAACACAGGUGGUGCAUGGCUGUCGUCAGCUCGUGUCGUGAGAUGUUGGGUUAAGUCCCGCAACGAGCGCAACCCUCGUCCUUAGUUGCCAGCAUUAAGUUGGGCACUUUAGGGAGACUGCCGGUGACAAACCGGAGGAAGGUGGGGAUGACGUCAAGUCAGCAUGCCCCUUACGUCCUGGGCUACACACGUACUACAAUGGUUGGGACAAAGGGCAGCCAACUCGCAAGAGCGAGCGAAUCUCAUCAAACCCAGCCUCAGUUCAGAUUGCAGGCUGCAACUCGCCUGCAUGAAGGAGGAAUCGCUAGUAAUCGCAGGUCAGCAUACUGCGGUGAAUUCGUUCCCGGGCCUUGUACACACCGCCCGU
rnacentral:rRNA from 1 species